rnacentral:snRNA from 1 species
AGCUUUGCUCAGUGGCAGUAUCAUAGCCAAUGAGGCUUAUCCGAGGCACGAUUAUUGCUAAUGGAAAACUUUUCCCAAUUCAGUGAUUUGUGAAUGAAAUAGAA